UUACACUGAUUUGACGUUGGAUUCCCAGUGAGCGGCGGACGGGUGAGUAACACGUGGGCAACCUGCCCCAAAGCGGGGGAUAACAUUUGGAAACAGGUGCUAAUACCGCAUAACUUGGAAAACCACAUGGUUUUCCAAUAAAAGAUGGUUUCGGCUAUCACUUUGGGAUGGGCCCGCGGUGCAUUAGCUAGUUGGUAAGGUAACGGCUUACCAAGGCGAUGAUGCAUAGCCGAGUUGAGAGACUGAUCGGCCACAAUGGAACUGAGACACGGUCCAUACUCCUACGGGAGGCAGCAGUAGGGAAUCUUCCACAAUGGGCGCAAGCCUGAUGGAGCAACACCGCGUGAGUGAAGAAGGGUUUCGGCUCGUAAAACUCUGUUGUUGGAGAAGAACGUGCGUAAGAGUAACUGUUUACGCAGUGACGGUAUCCAACCAGAAAGUCACGGCUAACUACGUGCCAGCAGCCGCCG
rnacentral:rRNA from 2 species